rnacentral:rRNA from 1 species
UGAGGAAUAUUGCGCAAUGGAGGAAACUCUGACGCAGCAACGCCGCGUGAGUGAAGAAGGCUUUCGGGUUGUAAAGCUCUGUCAGGUGGGAAGAAACCUUUAUAGUUGAAUAGGCUAUAAAACUGACGGUACCACCAAAGGAAGCACCGGCUAACUCCGUGCCAGCAGCCGCGGUAAGACGGAGGGUGCAAGCGUUGUUCGGAAUCACUGGGCGUAAAGCGCGUGUAGGCGGCUUGACAAGUCGAAUGUGAAAGCCCGGGGCUCAACCUCGGAAGUGCAUUCGAAACUGUCAGGCUUGAGUACGGGAGAGGGAAGUGGAAUUCCUGGUGUAGAGGUGAAAUUCGUAGAUAUCAGGAGGAACACCGGUGGCGAAGGCGGCUUCCUGGACCGAUACUGACGCUGAGACGCGAAAGCGUGGGGAGCAAACAGG